GACGAAGGAUGCAAGCGUUAUCCGGAUUCAUUGGGUUUAAAGGGAGCGUAGGUGGUCUUAUAAGUCAGUGGUGAAAUCUCGCAGCUUAACUGCGAAAUGCCAUUGAUACUGUAGGGACUUGAGUAUAGUUGCUGUGGGGCGGAAUAUGACAUGAUAGUGGUGAAAUACUUAGAGAUGUCAUUAGAAACACCGAUUACGAAGGACAGCUCACAAAACUAUAACUGAACAC
rnacentral:rRNA from 1 species